GUGAGCCAAUAGGAUCCUUCAGGUGACCUCAUGACUAGAGGAGUGGUGAGCCAAUAGGAUCCUUCAGGUGACCUCAUGACUAGAGGAGUGGUGAGCCAAUAGGAUCCUCCAGGUGACCUCAUGACUAGAGGAGUGGUGAGCCAAUAGGAUCCUUCAGGUGACCUCAUGACUAGAGGAGUGGUGAGCCAAUAGGAUCCUUCAGGUGACCUCAUGACUAGAGGAGUGGUGAGCCAAUAGGAUCCUUCAGGUGACCUCAUGACUAGAGGAGUGGUGAGCCAAUAGGAUCCUUCAGGUGACCUCAUGACUC